AUGGGCAACGUCCUGCCGCUCCCACGGAUGUGCAAGGAAACCAGGGUGAUGGACGCCACCGUCGCCGGAGCAGCCAAGAUGGUGAAGAGGAAAGAGUGGCCGGCGGCGGCCAAGGACGCCGUCGCCAGGGCGGAUCAAUACGGCGUCGAGGAGAAGGAGGUGGCGUGGCCGGAGUGCCGCGCGGAGGACGGCGGGGUGCGGUUGAAGGUACUGAUGACGAGGAAGGAGGCGGCGGAGUUCAUGGCGAGGCUGGAAGAGCAGGCCGCCGCGGAGAGUGAAUCCAGGACGGGGGAGGUCCUCGCCGGCGGCGCGUUGAGCCCGCCGUGCGAGGUUGCGUGGAGGCCCCGUCUCGCAACCAUACCAGAGACGUACUAG
rnacentral:rRNA from 1 species